rnacentral:rRNA from 1 species
UGAGUACGAGAUGCUACGGCAUCGAAGCAGUCUAUGUCAUACUUCCAAGAAAAGCUUGCACUGUCAUAAACAAAGAAUGCCUGUACCAUAACCGACACAGGUGGGUAGGUAGAGUAUACUAAGGGGCGCGAGAUAACUCUCUCUAAGGAACUCGGCAAAAUGACUCCGUAACUUCGGGAGAAGGAGUGCCUUAUUUCUAAGGUUGCAAUAACAAGAUCCAAGCAACUGUUUACCAAAAACACAGGUCUCCGCUAAGUCGUAAGACGAUGUAUGGGGGCUGACGCCUGCCCAGUGCCAGAAGGUUAAAGAAGUUGGUUAGCAUUAGCGAAGCUGAUAACUGAAGCCCUGGUGAACGGCGGCCGUAACUAUAACGGUCCUAAGGUAGCGAAAUUCCUUGUCGGGUAAGUUCCGACCCGCACGAAAGGCGUAAUGAUUUGGAUACUGUCUCGGAGAGGGGCUCGGUGAAAUAGACUUGUCUGUGAAGAUGCGGACUACCUGCACCUGGACAGAAAGACCCUAUGAAGCUUUACUGUAACUUGAGAUUGAAAUUGGACUUUAUUUGCGCAGUAUAGGUGGGAGGCGUUGAGAAUAAUCUUGCGGGAUUGUUGGAGCCAUCAGUGAGAUACCACUCUUGUAAUGUUAGAUUUCUAACUUUGUAUCAUUAUCUGGUCAAAGAACAGUUUCAGGCGGGCAGUUUGACUGGGGCGGUCGCCUCCCAAAGGGUAACGGAGGCGCACAAAGGUUUCCUCUGAACGGGUAGAAAUCGUAUCAAGAGUGUAAAGGCAUAAGGAAGCUUGACUGUAAGACCUACAAGUCGAGCAGGGACGAAAGUCGGUCUUAGUGAUCUGACGGUGCUGAGUGGAAAGGCCGUCACUCAACGGAUAAAAGUUACUCUAGGAUAACAGGCUGAUCUCCCCCAAGAGUUCACAUCGACGGGGAGGUUUGGCACCUCGAUGUCGGCUCAUCGCAUCCUGGGGCGGUAGUCCGUCCCAAGGGUUGGGCUGUUCGCCCAUGAAAGCGGUACGCGAGCUGGGUUCAGAACGUCGUGAGACAGUCCGGUCCAUAUCCGGUGUAGGCGUUAGAAUAUUGAGAGGAGCCUUCUCUAGUACGAGAGGACCGAGAAGGACAUACCUCUGGUGUACCAGUUAUCGUGCCAACGGUAAACGCUGGGUAGCUAUGUAUGGAGUGGAUAACCGCUGAAAGCAUCUAAGUGGGAAGCCCACCUCAAGAUAAGUAUUCUCAUC